AGUGAACGCUGGCGGUAGGCCUAACACAUGCAAGUCGAACGGCAGCACAGUAAGAGCUUGCUCUUACGGGUGGCGAGUGGCGGACGGGUGAGGAAUACAUCGGAAUCUACUUUUUCGUGGGGGAUAACGUAGGGAAACUUACGCUAAUACCGCAUACGACCUACGGGUGAAAGCAGGGGAUCUUCGGACCUUGCGCGAUUGAAUGAGCCGAUUUCGGAUUAGCUAGUUGGCGGGGUAAAGGCCCACCAAGGCGACGAUCCGUAGCUGGUCUGAGAGGAUGAUCAGCCACACUGGAACUGAGACACGGUCCAGACGCCUACGGGAGGCAGCAGUGGGGAAUAUUGGACAAUGGGCGCAAGCCUGAUCCAGCCAUACCGCGUGGGUGAAGAAGGCCUUCGGGUUGUAAAGCCCUUUUGUUGGGAAAGAAAAGCAGCAGGUUAAUACCCCGCUGUUCUGACGGUACCCAAAGAAUAAGCACCGGCUAACUUCGUG
rnacentral:rRNA from 1 species